GACGAACGCUGGCGGCGUGCUUAACACAUGCAAGUCGAACGGAAAGGCCCUGCUUUUGUGGGGUGCUCGAGUGGCGAACGGGUGAGUAACACGUGAGUAACCUGCCCUUUGCUUUGGGAUAACUUCAGGAAACUGGGGCUAAUACCGGCUAGGAGCUCCUGCUGCAUGGUGGGGGUUGGAAAGUUUCGGCGGUUGGGGAUGGACUCGGGGCUUAUCAGCUUGUUGGUGGGGUAGUGGCUUACCAAGGCUUUGAAGGGUAGCCGGCCUGAGAGGGUGACCGGCCACAAUGGGACUGAGAUACGGCCCAGACUCCUACGGGAGGCAGCAGUGGGGAAUAUUGCACAAUGGGCGGAAGCCUGAUGCAGCAACGCCGCGUGCGGGAUGACGGCCUUCGUGUUGUAAACCGCUUUCGCCUGUGACGAAGCGUGAGUGACGGUAAUGGGUAAAGAAGCACCGGCUAACUACGUG
rnacentral:rRNA from 1 species